ensembl:lncRNA
CACCAUUUCAUAUUCUAUUUCACACUCGUCUUGUGCUCCAGACCAGUAGACACAGACAGAGAUAGUGACCAUUAGAGAAAGAGGAGAAAGAGGAGAGAGACCCCGGUGCUGUGAUUGACUCAUCAGUGCACGUAGAGGAAGGAUGUGGGUCCUCAUCUGGGCAGCUCUACUUCUCUCUCUGACAGAGAGAGUGACGUGCAAAACUCUGACUCAGAAGCCCUCAGUGUUGACUCCCUCCUCUGACAGAGGGAGAACCAGUUACUCUGACCUGCACUGCCCCAGGGAUCUGCUCUGGAACUCCUCCUAACAUCACAUGGACAUGGAGAGGGACAGGAGACAACAUCACUGAGCUCAGAGACAACACCACUAUACAAAAGAAGAGGAUCUGACCAGCGUUACUACAACCCACUUCUCAACUUUGACCUUUACACCUUCAGCUGAGCACCACACCACCAAGGUCACGUGUCAAGUGACAUUCAAAGGGAACAUCACCACUGAGGAUACAGUGACUUUGAAUGUGACUCAGGAAGUAUCUAAAGACAUCUUGGCUAUGCUGUUGAACCCACCACUGAUUGCUGCAUUUGCGAUUGGUGCAGCCUUCUCAGCCACCAUCUGUUGUAUCUUCCUGUGUUUGACAGGGACAUGUAAAAGAUGCAAAGAGAGGAUCCCAAAGGACUCAGACUCCAAAAGCCCUAUAACGAACCUGGAGAUGGUGGCAUGUGAAGACCAACAGAUGGAUGCAGGACGGGCUGUGCGGGGCGAACAGACCCCUCUACAGGUGGUGCUGAUGGAGGGAGCUGAAAACACAGGACCCCAGACCAGUGGAGCUGCAGGAAACUCUGCCAAAGGGGAAGAACCAAAAGAUGUGCACUACGCCGCUAUCAACUACUCCCAACUGAAGAAGACUUCUGAGGAGGCAGAAAAAAGACCACCACAACAGAGUCAGAGUACGCCAAAAUCAAACGAGAGAAUAAGAAAGAAGGGAUGAAGAUGGAGGAGAGGGGAGUGGAGUGAUGGACGAGGAGGAGAACGAGCCAGCAGCAGAGACAGAUGAAAAUACAGCGCUUUACUCCAAUUUCAAGGCUAUUAUGGGUGGUGAGUGACAAAGCAAUUUUCGCUAGAAACGUGGGGGAUAGCAUGCAGCAUUAUAUAGCCAUGUGUUCUUAUAUCAUUUCCUGAAUCCAGAUUGAAAGUUUUAUGUUGAUACUGGGACUUUUGUUCAACUGAAACUACUGUAGUUUUGGUGUUGUUUCCUCAUGUGCUGAAUCAAGUUGGAAUGUUUUAUGAUAAUACAGAGACAUUGUAUAAUAACUGAAACUACUGUAGUUAAUAGUUUUGGUAAAUGAUUUAUUUUACAGCCCUGUGUCAGAUGGUACUGUAUGUAUCUGGUGGUUUUACAUUUUCAAUAAGAAUAUUUUCUAGUUGUACAUAGAAGCAAGUUUUGGUAAUGUUUUUGUAAAGUUUUUCAAGGAAGUGUCAUUUUACUUUUGUAAUGAUUGUGUUUUGUCACCAGGUGGAAGGACUGACAAAGAUGUGGUUUGGAAAAGUAGAGGGGUCAAACCAUUUCUUUUUUUCCUCCUCUUUCCUUUCAUUUUAGCAUUUUGAUUUGACAAGUGGGUGGGGAUAUUAGGUAGUAUGUGUGGAUGUAAUCAAUAUAUUUCUGUAAAUACUGUUCUUAUACACUGGCGAAAAUGUUGGCAAAAUGUUAUUAAGAAUUCUCAUUUUGGGCUAGCCAGAGAGCUCAAAUGAAAUGAAUCAAGAAAAAAAGUACAUCAUGCUUUUAAAGGUUGUGUGCUAUAGACAGGUUGGUUGAUUAGCAACAAAACAGAUGCGUGCACAACUAUGGGGUAAAACAGACGGGUUGGCUUAGAUUGUUGACAACAUGUAAACUAUAUUUAGUCUCCAGUGUUUGAAAAUAUAAAUACAUUUGUACAAUGAGCACGGUGUUUCUGAAAUACAUUGGUUAGCUAUGUAGCAUUUUUUUGUGC